rnacentral:rRNA from 1 species
AUUCCAGCUCCAAUAGCGUAUAUUAAAGUUGUUGCAGUUAAAAAGCUCGUAGUUGGAUUUCUGUCUCUUUUGGGAUGCGGUCCGCCCUUCAUGGGUGAGCACUGUUAUCCUGGUGACAUCCUCUCAAAGGCGUUAUGGUGCACUUAGUUGUGUGCUUAAUGAAUUUGGGAUCUUUACUUUGAAAAAAUUAGAGUGUUCAAAGCAGGCUUAUUGCUUGAAUAUAUUAGCAUGGAAUAAUGGAAUAGGACUUUGGUUCUAUUUUGUUGGUUUCUAGGACUGAAGUAAUGAUUAAUAGGGACAGUUGGGGGCAUUAGUAUUUAAUUGUCAGAGGUGAAAUUCUUGGAUUUAUGAAAGACUAACUACUGCGAAAGCAUUUGCCAAGGAUGUUUUCAUCA